GACGAACGCUGGCGGCGUGCUUAACACAUGCAAGUCGAGCGGUAAGGCCCUUUCGGGGGUACACGAGCGGCGAACGGGUGAGUAACACGUGGGUGACCUGCCCUCAGCUCUGGGAUAAGCCUGGGAAACUGGGUCUAAUACCGGAUAUGACUCCAUGACGCAUGUUGUGGGGUGGAAAGCCUUGUGCGGCUGAGGAUGGGCCCGCGGCCUAUCAGCUUGUUGGGGGGUGAUGGCCUACCAAGGCGACGACGGGUAGCCGGCCUGAGAGGGCGACCGGCCACACUGGGACUGAGACACGGCCCAGACUCCUACGGGAGGCAGCAGUGGGGAAUCUUGCGCAAUGGGCGAAAGCCUGACGCAGCGACGCCGCGUGAGGGAUGACGGCU
rnacentral:rRNA from 1 species